AGUGAACGCUGGCGGUAGGCCUAACGCAUGCAAGUCGAACGGCAGCACAGUAAGAGCUUGCUCUUACGGGUGGCGAGUGGCGGACGGGUGAGGAAUACAUCGGAAUCUACUUUUUCGUGGGGGAUAACGUAGGGAAACUUACGCUAAUACCGCAUACGACCUACGGGUGAAAGCAGGGGAUCUUCGGACCUUGCGCGAUUGAAUGAGCCGAUGUCGGAUUAGCUAGUUGGCGGGGUAAAGGCCCACCAAGGCGACGAUCCGUAGCUGGUCUGAGAGGAUGAUCAGCCACACUGGAACUGAGACACGGUCCAGACUCCUACGGGAGGCAGCAGUGGGGAAUAUUGGACAAUGGGCGCAAGCCUGAUCCAGCCAUACCGCGUGGGUGAAGAAGGCCUUCUGGUUGUAAAGCCCUUUUGUUGGGAAAGAAAAGCAGCAGGUUAAUACCCCGCUGUUCUGACGGUACCCAAAGAAUAAGCACCGGCUAACUUCGU
rnacentral:rRNA from 1 species